UACAGAGGGUGCAAGCGUUAAUCGGAAUUACUGGGCGUAAAGCGCGCGUAGGCGGCUGUCUAAGUCGGGUGUGAAAGCCCCGGGCUCAACCUGGGAACUGCAUUCGAUACUGGACGGCUAGGGUAUGAGAGAGGGAGGUAGAAUUCCACGUGUAGCGGUGAAAUGCGUAGAUAUGUGGAGGAAUACCGGUGGCGAAGGCGGCCUCCUGGUUCAAUACUGACGCUGAGGUGCGAAAGCGUGGGGAGCAAACAGG
rnacentral:rRNA from 1 species